AAUAAAUCGUUGAAUAAGAGUAGUAAGCAAAAUCAUCGUGACUCAGAGAACUGGUGAUGGUGGAAAUCCAGUACACGAUCUUUGCUGAAUGGACUUAUGAGAGGUUUCCUGAAAUAAAGUGAAUGUUCGCUUCUUGAACAAUCUUUUAAGUAGGGAAACACGUGAUUCCGACGUUAACGGAAAAAGUGGAAAAGAUAACAUCUUUUCAACUGGGGUGGCACCGCGACCAAAUUCGUCCUCAGG
rnacentral:ncRNA from 1 species